GAUGAACGCUGGCGGCGUGCCUAAUACAUGCAAGUCGAGCGAACAGACGAGGAGCUUACUCCUCUGACGUUAGCGGCGGACGGGUGAGUAACACGUGGAUAACCUACCUAUAAGACUGGGAUAACUUCGGGAAACCGGAGCUAAUACCGGAUAACAUGUUGAACCGCAUGGUUCAACAGUGAAAGACGGUCUUGCUGUCACUUAUAGAUGGAUCCGCGUCGCAUUAGCUAGUUGGUAAGGUAACGGCUUACCAAGGCAACGAUGCGUAGCCGACCUGAGAGGGUGAUCGGCCACACUGGAACUGAGACACGGUCCAGACUCCUACGGGAGGCAGCAGUAGGGAAUCUUCCGCAAUGGGCGAAAGCCUGACGGAGCAACGCCGCGUGAGUGAAGAAGGUCUUCGGAUCGUAAAACUCUGUUAUUAGGGAAGAACAAAUGUGUAAGUAACUAUGCACGUCUUGACGGUACCUAAUCAGAAAGCCACGGCUAACUGCGUG
rnacentral:rRNA from 1 species